GAAAUUGUAUUUCUCUUUCAAAAGAAAAGACUAUUUAUAUUACGCUAUGUAACUGACCAGAAUUUUUUUUUCAAAACAGCUGUACCAUUGGUUUUUGUUGUUCUUUUUUCACUCUUUUUAAACUGCUUUGAAGAUAAAACCAACUCAUCAUAAUCAGUGAGAUUUUAUGUUUUUGGAAUUGAGGAAAAAGUAUUGUUUAUGUAGCAACUUUUUUUCUGUCAUUGCCAGUAACUUGGAAAUUAAUGUUCAUUUUCAUUCAGAUUUUUUUUUUUGUGAGUCUUGCCUUAUCAAGAUUUGUAGAACACUAAAGCUAGUCAAAUGAGUUCAUAGCACAAGUUAAUGUUUGUAAAUGUUUUAAAAUGUAGAUUUGUAUUUUUUACAUUCACAGCUUAGGAACAGAUCAUAUGAGUACAUUCCAUGUAAUGUCAGAUUGUACAAUGAAAUUCACUUAUUUUUUCUUCUGUGGAAAAUCAAAUACUUUUCAAAAAAAAAAAAUAUCAGAGCUCAAAAAAUUAUUAAAAUGCCUUCAUAUUUUGUUUGCACUCCACAUGCUAAAUACUCUUAUUUUACCUGAACUAUUUGCACUUGGUUAGCUUAGAGUUUGAUUAUAUCUCAAGUUGUGUAAAACAAAAUCCUAAAUGAUUUAUAUUUUUGUGAAAUUGCAUUGCUUCCAAAUGUCAUUCUGAGGAAUUUUGUGAUAAAGAUGUCACUGUUGUUAAGUGUAGGAUUGUAUGGAUUAUGUGUUUAUCGGUCAGUAAAUGGUCGGAAACUAAUAUGACCUUCACCUGUGUCAAGGUCAAGUGGUACAGGUACACAAGUCGCAAAUGAAACCUUUCAAGCCUUUUUAUUCAAGCCAAAGCCAUAUUGUAAUGAUUAGCUACAUUUAAUGGGUCAUGGAUUUUGUUUACUUGAAAAAAAAUUAAAUGUUGAAACAUCUUG
rnacentral:misc_RNA from 1 species